UACAGAGGGGGCAAGCGUUGUUCGGAAUUACUGGGCGUAAAGGGCGCGUAGGCGGCCUGCUAAGUCGAACGUGAAAUCCCUGGGCUCAACCCAGGAACUGCGUCCGAUACUGGUUGGCUUGAAUCCGGGAGAGGGACGCGGAAUUCCAGGUGUAGCGGUGAAAUGCGUAGAUAUCUGGAGGAACACCGGUGGCGAAGGCGACGUCCUGGACCGGCAUUGACGCUGAGGCGCGAAAGCCAGGGGAACAAACGGG
rnacentral:rRNA from 1 species